CCGCCGGACCCCACUGCUAUCGGGAUAGGACUAAGACAUGCUAGUUGAGCGCUUCCAGCCAAAACGGGAGCGCAGCGCACAGCUCAGUAACACGUGGCUAAUCUGCCCUUGGGACCGGAACACCCCCGGGAAACUGGGGCUAAUUCUCGAUAGGUGAAGAACUCUGGAAUGAGUCUUUGCCAAAAAGACGUUUACGUUAUGCUCGUAGGCGUCGCCCAAGGAUGAGGCCGCGACCGAUCAGGUUGUUGGUGAGGUAAUGGCUCACCAAGCCUUUUACCGGUGCGGGCCGUGAGAGCGGGAGCCCGGAGAUGGGCACUGAGACAAGGGCCCAGGCCCUACGGGGCGCAGCAGUCGCGAAAACUUUGCAAUACACGAAAGUGUGACAGGGCUAUCCCGAGUGCCAUCCGCUGAGGAAGGCUUUUACCCAGUCUAGAACGCUGGGGGAAUAAGGAGAGGGCAAGUCUGGUGUCAGCCGCCGCGGUAAUACCAGCUCUCCGAGUGGUGUGGAUGUUUAUUGGGCCUAAAGCAUCCGUAGCUGGCUGAGUUAGUCCCUUGUUAAAUCCACCGAAUUAAUCGUUGGAUUGCGGGGGAUACUGCUCGGGCUAGGGGACGAGAGAGGCAGACGGUAUUUCUUGGGGUAGGGGUGAAAUCCUAUAAUCCCAGGAGGACCACCAGUGGCGGAAAGCUGUCU
rnacentral:rRNA from 1 species